rnacentral:rRNA from 1 species
GAAUCUGCCUAGUAGUGGGGAUAACUUGGGGAAACCCAAGCUAAUACCGCAUACGACCUACGGGUGAAAGGGGGCUUUUAGCUCUCGCUAUUAGAUGAGCCUAAGUCGGAUUAGCUGGUUGGUGGGGUAAAGGCCUACCAAGGCGACGAUCUGUAGCUGGUCUGAGAGGAUGAUCAGCCACACUGGGACUGAGACACGGCCCAGACUCCUACGGGAGGCAGCAGUGGGGAAUAUUGGACAAUGGGCGAAAGCCUGAUCCAGCCAUGCCGCGUGUGUGAAGAAGGCCUUUUGGUUGUAAAGCACUUUAAGUGGGGAGGAAAAGCUUAUGGUUAAUACCCAUAAGCCCUGACGUUACCCACAGAAUAAGCACCGGCUAACUCUGUGCCAGCAGCCGCGGUAAUACAGAGGGUGCAAGCGUUAAUCGGAAUUACUGGGCGUAAAGCGCGCGUAGGUGGUUAUUUAAGUCAGAUGUGAAAGCCCCGGGCUUAACCUGGGAACUGCAUCUGAUACUGGAUAACUAGAGUAGGUGAGAGGGGAGUAGAAUUCCAGGUGUAGCGGUGAAAUGCGUAGAGAUCUGGAGGAAUACCGAUGGCGAA